CCCGCCCGUGCCUCUCCCUCCACACUUUCCCGUAAGCUGAGGGAGCCGGCUCCCGCCUUGGCCAGCCCGGGAAGGGGCUCCCACGGUGCAGCGGUAGGCUGAAGGGCUCCUCAAACACGGCCAGAGUGGGCGCCAAGGCCGAGGAGGCGCCGAGAGCGAGCGAGGGCUGCCAGUAUGCUGUCACCUCUCAUUAUUACUUGCUGAUGUGAGUGGAGAAGGAGACUUGGUGAUAACAGGACUGAAAACCUUGUGUAGCCUACAGUCCAUAUGCUUCAGUCUAUUGUGUCUUGAUCUAAGAAGAGAUGCAGAACAGAUGCUAAGAAGACUUAGACGCAAUGAGCCCCAGAAACAUCGAGCCAAACCAGUUCCUGUGGUUGCUGAGAUAGACUGCAGCUGGAAAUUCCCCAGCUGAACAACAGACCACCUGCCAUAAACUAACUGACCACCUGAAGCCAGCCAGGUGAGACCACAACCAAAGGGCAGCCAUGUACAAGCCAGGAGGAGAGCCCUCACCAGAAACCAACCACGCUAGCACCUAGAUCUUGGAGUUCUAGCCUAUUAAACUAUGAGAAAAUACAUUUCUGUUGUUUAAGCUGCCCAGUUUAUGUAUUUUGUUAUAAUACAUCAAGCCAGCUAAAAUGAUGAAUUGUGAGGCUUUGAAUGGAAGGAUUUAACUCUAUGGAGGAGAGAGAUAAACAAACGAGCAAACAAAAAACAACCAAAUACAUAUAUACUAUUAAGAGGAGCAAAGAAAACUCCUGUAGGGACAAGAUACCAGAAUAACUCAGGACUGUUAGGGAGAGAAACUUCAUCAAAUGACUCAGAAUACAUGGGCAUGUGUGGUAUGUGGUGGAGUGUGUGUGUGUGUGUGUGUGUGUGUGUGUGGCUGUAGGUGUGAGUUGUAUUAUAAUUCAGUUAUUUUAUGUGCAAGUCUUUAGUAACAUCUUAUUAAUGUGACUGAUUUUACAUGUUAUAGAGUUCUAAAUGAUGUGUCCAUUUCUAAGAUUAUCGAGAAGAAAUCAGCAGCCUGGAGAAGUCAGGGUGGUGAGGCACGAAGCAGCCUGGAGAAGUCAGGGUGGUGAGGCACGAAGCACCCUGGGAAGAGGUUCGGCAGCGGGCUGAUGUGAAGUAUUCAGCUGAGCUAGCUGCAAAAGCUCAGGUCGGUUCAUGUCAUAUGCAGUCACUUGUCAUUAAUUUCCUAACACACAUGUGAUUAAACUGGAAAAGGACUAGAUUCUCUGCUGACAAAUGAAAUGAGAUAAGAAGAAUGAUAUCUGAAAGCUAAAGAAGGCUGAAAUUCCUGGAAUGGCAGGCAAUGAUCAUAUUAUUUCGGAUCUAACAGGCAUCCUCAGGCAUCCUACCCACAAAGAGGGAGAACGAUCCUGUCCUUGGCAUUGCUCUCUUAUUCAGGCCAUAAGCCUAAACUUUGCAAUCUGGCUUUCCAUGGUCUUAUAGUAUUGCCACAUAAAUAUAAUUUUGAUAGUGUUUGUUUGUGUUUCCUGCAGAUAGCAUUUUCUUACUAAAGAGAAAUUAUAAAAAAAAUACGUAACUUUGAAGUAACAAGAAACUCACAGAUUUCAAAAGCUUAUUUUGAACUGUAAUAACUGGUCAGUCAGGAAAGAUUGGCUGACACUACUAUAUUAGUAUAAAUACAAAGAUAGUGUAAUUCUAUAAAUAUACAGAAUAAAUAAUGUGUAAGGACAGAGUAAAUAGACUGAAAAUUUGCCAUCAGAAAUACUGAAUUAUUCGAGCAAAGGGCAAUAUUGUGUGAAGAACUUUUGGGAACAGCAUUGAAUUUUUCAAAGAAAUGUUUAUUCAAUUUUGAACUGAUCCAGAAAAAAUCAAAUCAAAAACAAAAACAGGCAGCUGUUAUGAAACUACAAAGUAUAUGUUCUCCCAAAAAGCAUUUGAAAAAUUACUUGCUAAACCAUUAGAACAUUUUGAGAAAGUAUUGUAUUCUAAUACUAGUUCUGACAUUAAUUUAUUUCUCUCUUACUUGUGAGACUAAACAAAAUUUUUCAAAUUUACUAGACUGAUUUUGUACCUUUCCUUUGAGGUCAUAUCUAGAAGAACAAUUGCUAAUGUAAUCUAAACAGAAAAAACAUCUUUAGUAAAGUUAGGUAUAUCUCCAUAAUACACUGAUUUGGACAUAACUAUAAUAGAAAUUCAAAACCUGACAUCUAAAUAUGGAUCAAUACCAUUGUAAUACUUCCAACUAAUAACUUUUUAUUGAGGUUAUAUGAUCCAUGAGAAUUUAAUUAAAUUAACACCAUAAGUUAUGAUAAAUUCACUUAAGAUCUGAAUUACAGAUAGAAGAAACUUCUUGUGUUUAUUUGCUUUUCAUAAAACAAUAAUACUCCUGAUAUGUUUUUUAAUAAUAAAACAGUAUUUAAUGAGAAGGCUACAUUACUGAAACUUUUUAAAGCAAUUUGAUGAAAGAAAAAGAAACCUGUUAGUGUAAAACUGGCAACAUUUUCAGCAUUUCAUUAUUUAUUAAGUACUUGAAUAAUUGUAUUUCAUUUUUUAAAGCAAAUACAAAUUAUAUUUUUGUAUGUUAUUUUUAAGUCUUAUGACCAUGAAAUAAAACAAGUGACAUUUUAUUCUAUUCAUCUCUCUUGUUAAAGAUGGCAAAACAAUUACCAUAAUACACACAUUUCUAUAUAACAUCCUAAAAUUAAUAUAUUAGAACAAAAGAUAAAUUUUUCAAGCACUAGAGUUUUUGAGUUGAGUGAAAAUUUCAAAAUAAUCUGGUAAAACUUGGCUUCAUCAUUGUAGUAGAGAAUUCUGGCUUAGGUGGGGGUGCAUCUAAUAACAUAUAUUUAAAUCCUUAUUUAAGGUAUUAUAUAAAAUCACUCAAAACGAUGAGAAAGGAAUAAAACCUAGCAAUAUUAAUUAUUUAACUCUGCAUGAUAAACUACGUUGCAAUUUUUCUUUGUAAUAAUACAUAAAACUCAUUCAGAAAUGCUAACACUGUUUUAUAGAUGAACACAAGAAAGUUAAAACUGGGUUCCAUAUCCAAGGACAUGUAUGUUGAAAGUGAUAAUAUAAAGGUUGUAACCAUAGAUUUAUUUUCAAUCAAAUUGACCCUCCUUCUAGAACUUCACAUUGUGUUCAAAGUGAACAUUUAAAAAUAUUAUUUUUUAUUCUAUGUAUUUUUUUACUUGUCCUCUAAUUGUUUUAACACCAAAACCUACUUGAGAAUACAGACAACAUUUUCUGCUUUAUUUUAUUGUUUAUACUUAACAUGGUUCUGGACCCAUAGAAAUGGCUGUAUAUUCUAAGAUAAGUUUCAGAGGAGGUGUAAUGUAGCUAAGGAAAUUAUCAAAAUUAUCAAAAGCAAUAGAAAAUAUUAUACUAAAACAUAAUAAAGCAGUUUCAAUGAAAAAAGACCAUGCAAGUAAAUGUCCUUGUGAAUUUUACCCAUUUGGAAAUAAUGCUACAAUGAAAAAGAUUUUGAAGAAAACGAAUGGAAUUUUUCUGAUAGGCAACUAUAAACUCCUAUUAAAUUUAUAGAGAAUUUGGCUUAGUUAUGUUUUCUCUUUUGUAAAUUCACCAAACCGUCAAAGAAUGGCAAAAGUCACAAAAAAUUGAUGCAAUGCAUGCUUGUAACAAUGUUAAUUAUAAAGAAGAAAAGCAUAAAACCCAGAAAGAUUGCAGAAGAAGGGAAACAUUUUGGAGCAAAGAAUAACAGGCACUUUUGCAGGCCAGCACUAACCCAGGGAGUGAUUCAGUCAUUAGAAAGCAAAUUAGCACAGAAUGAGAGAAAAUAUUUGCAAAUCACAUAUUUGAUAAAAGUUUAAUAUCCAGGAUGUAUAACAAAUUCCUAAAGC